AAGCCACAAUCUAAUCUUGGAGAAGAGGAUCAGCUGAGGCCAUCUAGUCCUUUGGUUCAUCUUGUUUCAGGUCAGAGGUGGAGUAAGGCCUUAGGUAUCCAACCAGUUCCAAGACUAAUCUCUUAGGUAACCCUUAGGCGGGAGACACUUUACUCUUUUGGACGGAAGGAGCGGCCAACCAGC